AUACGGAGGAUGCGAGCGUUAUCCGGAUUUAUUGGGUUUAAAGGGUGCGUAGGCGGACGAUUAAGUCAGCUGUGAAAGUUUGGGGCUCAACCUUAAAAUUGCAGUUGAUACUGGUUUCCUUGAGUACGGUACAGGUGGGCGGAAUUCGUGGUGUAGCGGUGAAAUGCUUAGAUAUCACGAAGAACUCCGAUCGCGAAGGCAGCUCACCGGGCCGGAACUGACACUGAUGCUCGAAAGUGCGGGUAUCAAACAGGAUUAGAUACCCUGGUAGUCCGCACGGUAAACGAUGAAUACUCGCUGUUUGCGAUACACUGUAAGCGGCCAAGCGAAAGCGUUAAGUAUUCCACCUGGGGAGUACGCCGGCAACGGUGAAACUCAAAUGAAUUGGCGGGG
rnacentral:rRNA from 1 species